CGGAGGCUACCGCUAUUGGARUUCGAUUAAGCCAUSCGAGGUCGAGAGUCUUAGGGACUCGGCGUWCCGCUCAGUAACACGUGGGUAACCUGCCCUAUGCUGGGGAAUAACCUCGGGAAAMUGAGAAUAAUGCCCCAUAGUCCACAAUGCCUGGAACGGUUUGUGGAUCAAAGCUCCGGCGGGCAUAGGAUGGGCCUGCGGCGUAUCAGGUUGUAGGGGGUGUAACGUACCCUCUAGCCAUCAACGCGUACGGGUGUUGGGAGACAUAGCCCGGAGAUGGAUUCUGAGACACGAAUCCAGACCCUACGGGGUGCAGCAGGCGCGAAAACUUGGCAAUGCGAGAAAUCGUGACCAGGGAACUCCAAGUGGCUGGGGUAAGACCCAGUCUUUUCUUGACUCUUCAAAGGUCUUGGAAUAAGGGGUGGGUAAGGACGGUGCCAGCCGCCGCGGUAAUACCGGCGCCUCAAGUGGUAGUCGAUUUUAUUGGGCCUAAAACGUCCGUAGCCUGUUUGGUACAUUCGUGGGUAAAUCAACCAGCUCAACUGGUUGAAUUCUGCGAGCACGGCCAGACUUGGGACCGGGAGAGGUGUGGGGUACGCUCAGGGUAGGGGUAAAAUCCUGUCAUCCUGAGCGGACCACCUGUUGCGAAGGCGCCACACUAGAACGGAUCCGACGGUCAGGGACGAAGCCUAGGGGCACGAACCGGAUUAGAUACCCGGGUAGUCCUAGGUGUAAACGCUGUGGACUUGGUGUUGGGGACUCUCCGAGAAUCCUCAGUGCCGAAGCGAAGGUGAUAAGUCCACUGCCUGGGGAGUACRGWCGCAAGGCUGAAACUUAAAGGAAUUGGCGGGG
rnacentral:rRNA from 1 species